CCACCGACAGCAGCGACCACUGAUUAGAUCUGGAGCGAGAGAAGAUGGAGAAGAAGAUGGGGAGAUAGACGAAGAUGAAGCUGCUGUAAUGUCGGGAAGGCUGAGACGAAGCGAGUUGCUGCUGGAGUGAACAAAAAGAAAAUGAGUUGGAGUUCAUGUGGGAGUGCUGGAGAAGGAGUUGAAAAUAGAAAGGAAAAGGAGUUGAAAGGGAGUGCUGGAACGGCUGGAAUGGAUCUGUGAAAGCGAAGAAGGAAAAUGAUUUGAAAGGGAGUGUUGGAACGGAUCUGUGAAAGCGGGUGGAAGAAGGAAAAGGAUUUAAAAGGGAGUGCUGGAACGAAUCUGUGAAAGCGAGUGGAAGAAGGAAAAUGAUUUGAAAGGGAGUGCUUUUUCACAUGGGGGACAGAUUUCUCUUAGUCACGUGGGGGUGGGGGGAAAGGUGAGA
rnacentral:lncRNA from 1 species